rnacentral:rRNA from 1 species
GAUGAACGCUGGCGGCGUGCUUAAUACAUGCAAGUCGAACGGAAAGGCUCCUACUUGCCUCCUUACACGUUUGGCGCACGCGUGAGUAACACGUGGGUGAUCCGCCCUGCACUUCCGGAUAAGCCUGCGAAACUGGGUCUCUUAUCCGAUAUGACGAUGGUUUCGAUACCGUUGUGGAAUGUUUGUCGGUUUUGGUUGCGCUCGCGGCCUAUCAGCUUGUUCGUUGGGUAAUGGCCGACCAAACCGUCGACGGGUAGCCGGCCUGAGAGGGUGUACGGCCACAUUGGGACUGAGAUACGGCGCAGACGCCUACGGGAGGCAGCAGUGGGGAAUAUGGCACAAUGGGCGCAAGCCUGAUGCAGCGACGCCGCGUGGGGGAUGACGGCCUUCGGGUUGUAAACACCUUUCGAUAGGGACGAAGCGCAAGUGACGGUACCUGGAGAAGAAGCACCGGCUAACUACGUG